rnacentral:rRNA from 1 species
AGCAGCCGCGGUAAUUCCAGCUCCAAUAGCGUAUAUUAAAGUUGUUGCAGUUAAAAAGCUCGUAGUUGAAUUUCAGGCCUGGCUGGGCGGUCCGCCCUUCGGGUGAGUACUGCCUGUGGUCGGGUCCUACCUUCUGGCGAAGCGUCAUGGCCUUCACCGGCCGUGGCGGGGAACCAGGACUUUUACUGUGAAAAAAUUAGAGUGUUCAAAGCAGGCAAUCGCUUGGAUACAUUAGCAUGGAAUAAUGGAAUAGGACAGUGGUUCUAUUUGUUGGUUUCUAGGACCGUUGUAA